rnacentral:rRNA from 1 species
UACGAGAGGCCCAAACGUUAUUCGGAAUUACUGGGCUUAAAGAGUCCGUAGGCGGCGCAGAAAGUCGGGUGUGAAAGCCCUCGGCUUAACCGAGGAAUUGCGCUCUAAACUACUGUGCUUGAGGAACCUAGAGGUGAGCGGAACUGAUGGUGGAGCGGUGAAAUGCGUUGAUAUCAUCAGGAACACCGGAGGCGAAGGCGGCUCACUGGGGGUUAUCUGACGCUGAGGGACGAAAGCCAGGGGAGCGAACGGG